UGUGGCGGAAGGGCAGACGCACCAGACUUAGGAUCUGGCGGGAAACCGUGGGGGUUCAAGUCCCUUCUCCCGCGCCGCACCA
rnacentral:tRNA from 1 species